rnacentral:lncRNA from 1 species
AUAUAUUCUAAUACCGUUAACAAAAUUGAAACCGAAAAAAAUAGUCUUAAGUGUUUCUAACACAAGAGGUGAGGACAUGAGAUCAAAUAAAAUGUACUCUUAUUAUGAGAGCUUAAUUUGAUCGGAUUAAAAAUGAAAAUGAAAGGAAGGAAUAUAGAGUCUUUAGUAUUCAUUGGAUAUUUGCAUACAUCGAUUUGAGAACUUACAUAUUAAUUAUCAGGACCCACCCCGAAUUUCACCCUGAAACCCGAAGUAAAUCCUACGGGGACCACCUCCAAGGAAAAUUUACCGAAAAUUCGGCAUAACCUCCCUUGAAAAUGGACAACCCUUCCUAAAAAAAAACACCUGCAAGCACUUCUAAAAGUUCCAACUCCAACCUUAACUCCUGGAGCCUUCGUGCUCCCCACAAAUCACAACAUCUCCCAAAAUAGAUUCACUAAUCUAACAAAGAUCCUAUAACCAACAACCAUAAUAUUCAGAGCAACUCUACUUGAGAGGAGAGGAACUAGAAAUAAAUAGAAAUGAGCGGAAGCUAUACUAUUGACUAUGCUUCUUCUCCAUGUACGCUCGGCCUCACUAUGCUAACCUGCAACUGGGCAUUUAUAAGACGAAGAGCCUAGGGGAAAACAUUUGAAACACGUUAGAGUGAGUGGACAAAAACAUAAAUUUAAUGAAAAUAUUUAUGCUUUCCCAAUUUACAUUUCCAUAGAAAAUAUGCUGCAUGCGGCAGCUCGAAAACGCUCAACACAAAAAAAACUGGCAAUUUCAUGACUAGCUCCGGCCAGUCUCCAAAGCUCAAAAAAAUACAGCCUCUCAGGCUAAAAUAAAAUAUGUAUGUAUUAUACUCGUCAUAUCCCUUGCAUGAAUUUUCUUGAAACAACAAAGACAAAUAGAAAAUUCACACAAGGCUACGACGCUUGCGUCUAACGCUCACGUCGCACCAUAAUGGCAUUUUACUUCAUUAUGGUGAAAAAGACGGUGUAUAAAUAUAUACGCGCAUAUUCCCUAUAUAAAUUAUUAUAUUUAUAUAGGGCUACGACGAUUGCGUCUAACGCUCACGUCGCACCAUAAUGGAAUUUUUACCUCAGUAUGGUGGAAAAGUACAUAUAGCUAGCUAGCAUUCUCUCAUAUACAUAUUAUUCUCAUAAUCAUCCAAAUAUGGAUAUAUAUACAUACUCACCGAAAUUCUCAAUUUCGGUUAUUUUCCAACAAUAAUGAAAAAUUGCCAACUAUCAUAAAAAGCAAUACGCACACGACUCUACCGAAAAUCUUAUUUUCGGUAACUUUCCAAUAACACGAUAGCCAUUAAAAAUGAGAACAUUUACUUCUGAAAAUGACUUCGCGAAAAUAGACAAAUCCACAAAUUGAUAUUCAAUAAAAUCAAUCAUUUAAUAUAGAAUCAUCGCAUGCAUAUAUUUUAAACAAAAGUCCACUCACAACUUUAGGCCUAAGCCUGACGUCGAUCCGAGACCUCUUCCACUCGAGCCUCCUCACGUCUUGAUCCAAACAUAUAAUUAAUUUCCCAACUAAAAAUCCAAUAAUUAAACAAAAUGGGCAAAAAUUAAACGUGAGCCUCCCACACACUCAUCAUUGCCCAACUUUGUCCUUCAUAACCCCAAAAUGGCUCAAACUUCACCGAAUAUACCGGCAGCCCUAAUUCAACCUUCUACAAAUUAAAGACUUAUAUCCUACGGCCGGAUUCCUAUAAUCAUUGAUUCGACUUCUUCUUAAAUUGACCAAGUAUCUUGGGUUGACCAGGAUUGACCAACAUAUACUAAUAAUCAAUUCCGACUAAACUUCGCAAUUAUAACAUAUUCGGAGUGAACCUUAACCUGGAAUCAAAGUCACUAUCAAUUUCCAUGCCUUAACACAUUAACCAAAAUACUUCCAAAAUUAUUUUAUGAUCCCCUACGAUCAAACAUGCUCACAAACAAUACCAACAAUUUCCUUCAUUUCCUCUCUACACAACUUCACCUCAAAAUUUACUAAGGACACCCAAAAAAGGUUUCCAUAAAUAGGAAGUUGCCAAAAAGGGAAAGUUUCUCAAAAUAGGAACUUUCCUCACUUAGAAAGAUUUUCGAUUAUAAACCAACAAACUUUCCUAUUUAAGAAACAACGCAAAACAAAAAGGAAAACUUUGAUAACUACCUCAACUGCUUCUGACGUACUAACUGCCUUCGCCGGAGAUUCUGCCAUCCGGCCACUUGCCGGAAUUUCGCCAUGACCUCCCUAUAUCCUUCAAUAUACCAAGUUCUCGACAUACAAACAACCAAAAACCCCAGAUUAAUCACCAAUCAACCAUACCACAAAACACAGCAGCAUUUCAAUCAUCAAACCAAGCAGAAACCUAGAGAUUCCUCACCUUGCUAUAGACCUCACCAGACUGAGUUCACCCUCAGCCUAAACCGUCGCUGCUAACCAUGGCUUUCAUCAACACCCGAGCUCACCAACGCCUCCAACACCACAGCAGCAGCACCCUUGAUCUUCAACAGAAACGACUGGGUCUCCAUGAGAUCAAUGCAACGUCAGGGGAGGAGAGAAGAGACACCGAGAAACCUCAACGGCGUCAACGACGGUGGCUCGCCGGAAAACCCAUAAAACAGAAUUAGGGCUUCCUCCGAUUUGGCCACGAAUCAAGAAAACAAAGACACAACAAGGAAGAGGGAAGUGAGGAGGACAAGAAUAUAGCCUUCAUAGCCGUCGUCCCUAUCGGAGCUCACCGGAAAUUGCAGAACACAGUCGAGCUUUCCUUCGAUCGAUCACCACCGAAUCGAGAAGAAAGUGUGAUCCAUGGACCGGGUUAGAUAGAAGAGAAGGAGAGGAAGAGAUUGAAGAUGGUCUCGUCGCCAGGGAUGGCCGGAGACGACGGCGUCAUGCGGAGGACGCCGGAGGCAGGCGGAGAGGAAGAGGGAAGGUCUGGGCUCGGG